rnacentral:lncRNA from 1 species
UAUCACAGGAUGGAAUUCGUGUGUGUGUGUGUGUGUGUGUGUGUGUGUGUGUGUGUGUGUGUGUGUGUGUGUGUGUGUGUGUGUGUGUGUGCGCGCGCAAGAACCAAGAAAGGAAAGAAGAGUGAGAUUGUGAGCUUGUGAAAUACCUAAGAUACUUUAUAUAACUAGAAGACUUGCCACACACACACACACACACACAUAGGAGGUGAUGUAAAACUUCAAUGACUACGUAAGAGCAAAUGAGAUUCAGGCGAGAGAGAGAGAGAGAGAGAGAGAGAGAGAGAGAGAGAGAGAGAGAGAGAGAGAGAGAGAGAGAGAGAGAGAGAGAGAGAGAGAGAGAGAGAGAGAGAGAGAGAGAGAGAGAGAGAGAGAGAGGAGAAAGAGCAAUUCAGAAUGAUCAGGAAAGAGUAGUACCAGGAGAAUGAAAGACAGCCUGACAGACAAACAGAUAGCAGCGUUUGUUGAGUGGAAUAGAACAAGAGGGAGGGAAGUGAUUGAAGUAGAAAGCAAAACCAUGCAGCAACAUCAGAGUCAGUCAUGGAGUAGGAGAAAAGCUUGCAUGAUAGAGAAAACAAACGUACCACACAGCAAGGAAGUUCUUCACCAGUUAGAGCGGAAAGCCAAAAUGGUAAUAAAAAAAUACAGGAUAGUAUGAAAACAGAAACCAGAAAAGUUGAUAGAAAUGGAGGAGUAAAAAAAUAAUAAUAAAGGAAAGAAUUUUUAUAUCGAGUAAGCACAGAAGUGAGGAUAUGAAGAUAAAGAUAAAAGGAAUAGAAAAGUAAGAGAAGGAAAUGAAAAAUACGAAAGACAAAAUGGAAAUUAUAGACUAGUAGCUGCACGAAGUAAGGAAAAUAGGAAAUAAAAAUGAAAAAAAGAAAUCACGAUGAAAAAAAAAGCAUUAACAAAGUUACUGAUAGUAUUGGAAUUUUGAAGAAUAGAUGAACAUGAAAGUACACUAGGAAAAAAAAGAAACAGUAUGAAAAGAGAAAACCUAAUGUAUUCAUCAUCUUUCCACUAAAAGUGAAGGACGGAAAGGAAAACGAUUGAGGAAACAUAAAAGCAAAUAAUGAAUGUAUAUUUUGUGUUGACAAAGAAAAAGAAAACAAAUGUACAAUAACAAGAAAGCGGUAGUGAUUAGAAAUGAAAGAAGAGUGUUCCAUAUAAAUGAAUAGGAAAAAGACGAGAGAAAAGAUUACUUACCGACUGAUAAAUUUAAUGAACUGAAAUAAUGACGAACGAGAACAAAAAGAGAAGAGACUAUGAUAAAAAAAAAAAAGAGAGAGAGAGAACGACGGAAACUAAGACGACACAUCUAUAUCAACAAAUCCUAAGAGAUGAAAUAUCUGCACAUGAUCACCUGUACUGUGGCGGUCAGGUAGACAGACGAGACAGGCAGGUGUGCGAUGCUGGCGGUUGGGCGGGUUAUCCUAUCACCACCAUCGAUCCAGGCUGUCGGGAGUGUUUAACAUCUGUACAGGUACAGUGACGACGGUCCAGGAACGAUGAUAGACGCUUGCACUUUCCGCGGCGUCAUGAUAAUAAAAAUGAUAAUAAGAAUACUAACAAUAAUAAUAAUAAUAAUAAUAAUAAUAAUAAUAAUAAUAAUGAUGAUGAUGAUGAUGAUGAUGAUGAUGAUGAUGAUAAUAAUAACAACGAUAAUAAUAACAAUAAAAGUAGUAGUAGUAGUAGUAGUAGUAGUAGUAGUAGUAGUAGUAGUAAAUGAUAAUAACAAUAACAGUAAUAAUAAUAAAUGGUGACAGCGCGUGGAUUAAACAAUAAGCGUCACAGGUACGAUGAACACUAGAUGAAGGUACAAAGAUUGCAGGAAAAGAGAAAGAGACAGAGAGAAAAAAAAUAAAUAAAACACUAGAUAUGACAAAGCAAUGCGAUUAUUUAGAAGAGAUAGUUUGGCAGUAUAAAGAAUAUAUUAUGUUUAUUUUCUUGAUAAUAUUAAAAACAGCUGAAAAUAAGACAGGUGCUACACAGGGAGGGGGGAGGGAUAGGAGUAGGAGUAGAGGUAAGGGUAGUGUAGGGGAGCUGCUCUCCCUCCCCAACCAAACUUCCUUGACGAAUGCAGGAUGGAGGGAGGUGGUAGAUACAAAUCCUGGAGGGGUGAAGGAGUUUGGAUGGUAGGAGGGGGUGCCAAUUCUUCACCAUCCUGACAUUUAGAUAGUUUUACUUUUUCUGAGGGAAUAUUAUCGUGACUUUAUGCUUUUACGUUAUGCCACUGUAAGGUUUCAGGAUUGCGUUAUAUCUUAUGCGGUUCGUUUGGGAGUGAUGCAUUUUAGGUCAUACCUCUGGAAGACAACAGGUGUUAUAUUUUUACUGCUUUGAAGUAAACUAUUAUUAUUACAAUUAUUAUUAUUAUUAUUAUUAUUAUUAUUAUUAGUAAUAAACAAGUCAGGUAAAAACGUGAUAGAGGUUACAGUUACAGUGGUAGAGGUUACAGGUAACAGGCAUGGAUUUAUCAACAAUUUCUGUGACUUCUAGGAUGAGAGAGAAGGAUGAGGGUAAUGAUUCUGGCAGGUAUGGUAGUGACGUCAGUGGCGCGGAACGGUGACGAAUGCAGGUCAGGUAGAACAAGCAGUACAUACUUGUCUGGAGGGGUGACCGAGACGCGACGCUGACUACACCCCCACACCUGUGUCUCCGGCGCAUAUCCACACCUGCACACCAGACACAAGCACAUAAAACAUCUGCACCUCCCCUGAACACCACACCUGCACUAACUUCAAUCUAUUUACUGCCUUCCUAACACCAUCCUAACACAUAUACAAUCACUACUCUACAUGCUCUAACUAUAGUUGCUACUCCUAACUUACACACUAGUAACUUUGCAAUGGUAUUCAAUGGAUUCCAUACACACACACACACACACACACACACACACACACACACACACACACACACACACACACACACACACACUAGUAUUCUGCCACAUCUCAAAGCAUGCAUGCUCUCACUGUCUCACUUAAACAGGUAACUAUGCAUGAGAACAAUUAACAGGCAUAUGAAUUGUUGCUGAUUUACAUAAGUAAUUAUUGCACCAAGUACUAACAAGACAUCCACGCACGCACGCACGCAGACACACACACACACACACACACACACACACACACACACACACACACACACAUGGAAAAAAAAUGAAGUGCUGGAACGUAUAAGAAAACAGAGAAACGUUGGUAAAGAAGCAAAUAAUAAUGAUGAUAACAUUACUAAUACAGGAUGUUCAAUUAUAAUGAAAUAGGCAACGUUUGUAGUAAUCAUGACGAUGGUGAUGAUAGGAUGACUUUGCUUGUGUCAUUCAAACAAUAAUGACGACGAUGAUGGCAUAUAGGAUAAUGACAAUGAAAUAUGAUAAUCCUGCAAUGAAAAAAAAUAAUGAUAGUGAUGAUGAUGAUGAUGAUGAUACGGAUGGUAAUGACAGUAGUGAUAACGAAACUGAUAACGACGAUGAAGAAAGCGAUCCGAAUAAUAAUGAGUAAAAUAAUGAGGAUCAAGAAAAUAAUAUAUAUGAAUCUGUAUAAGGAGCAGAAUAAAUUAUAGUUAUUUUUUUCUUUCUUGCUUUCUUCUUCUGUUUUUCUUCUUUCCAGCAUUUUUUUCUUUCCUUUUCUUUAUAUUUUUUUACUCUCCUAUUGUCACCUAUCUCCUCCUCCGCUUAUCUUGACGAAUGCAGCGGGCGCUUUAUUUUUAUGAUUUGUGUGUCGUCCCUGGAGGGGUAAAGCAAGGCGGAGGGGGGGUGGGAGAGAAAGAGAGAGAGAGAGAGAGAGAGAGAGAGAGAGAGAGAGAGAGAGAGAGAGAGAGAGAGAGAGAGAGAGAGAGAGAGAGAGAGAGAGAGAGAGAGAGAGAGAGAGAGAGAGAGAGAGAGAGAGAGAGAGAGAGAGAGAGAGAGAGAGAGAGAGAGAGAGAGAGAGAGAGAGAGAGAGAGAGAGAGAGAGAGAGAGAGAGAGAGAGAGAGAGAGAGAGAGAGAGAGAGAGAGAGAGAGAGAGAGGGAGGGGGAGAGGGUUCCUAUUCCUUGGCAAGAGCCGUCGCUUUGUUGAGGGUGUGAUGUACUUUGAGUCUUUCUCGUCUCCUUUGCGCUUUUCCGCGGUGCUGUUCCUCCUACUAUUCCUGCUGCUGAGGGCGCCGGGGUGGAUAUUUCCUCUGUGCAGUGGGGCGUGCCGAGGGGUGCGGUUUGUUAAGGGGGGAAGAGGCGGAGGCUUGGAGUGGAAGUGACGACUGGCACAGAGAUUCUGGGGGAGCGAAGGAGGCGGAAGGGGAGUAGAAGGACAAGAAUCUGCUAGAGCAAAACGUGCAAGAGGAAGGUAGCUAGAAACUGGUGAUGGCGUUUUCCCUGCAAGAUGAGAGUUAAGGUACCCGAGGGUAGCACCAGACCACCAAGGUAGACUGUUGGCAAGGCGUGAGGAGCCAGACGCGGAGGACCUCCCCCUAGACGUCAGGGUCAGGUGGUCCUCCCUGUCUAUUCCUUCCCUUGGCCAUAGUUAUAAGACAAGGAUGACCAGGUUUCUCUUUAUGUUACAGCCAUUUUUCGGGAUAGGAAGGUGGGAUUGGAGUUCAUUAGGAGGAAAAACAGUGUUUGAGCACCGUCGCUCUGCUGCCCGUCAACGAGCCUCUUCGGGGUCAUCAUAGAGAGUCAAUGGGGCUUGUGGUCGCCUGUGGAAGGAGCAAGAGUUCAGUGGCUGCCAACGACAGAGGCCAAACCGACCGUGGAAAAAGGCAGUCCUAGGGAAAUUGCUAGAGAAAAUUACACGGAGACCAAAGAAUGUUCAGAGUGAAGUGAUCACGAUUAGAGACUAGGUAUGGAUCCUUAGGAGUAGCGAGGGACGCGGGGACGAGCUGGAGAAGUUCCGGGACGAUAGCGGUGACUAUGGAAGUUAAUGCAGGAUUACUUCACAUCACUCAUAAUCCAUGACCAUGAGUAAUAAGACCAUCGUGGCCAUAAGAGUCAAAACACGAGCGUACUGUUAUCUACGAAUUCCUGACCUUAAAAAUC